rnacentral:rRNA from 1 species
UACAGAGGGGGCAAGCGUUGUUCGGAAUUACUGGGCGUAAAGGGCGCGUAGGCGGCCUGCUAAGUCGAACGUGAAAUCCCUGGGCUCAACCCAGGAACUGCGUCCGAUACUGGUUGGCUUGAAUUCGGGAGAGGGAUGUGGAAUUCCAGGUGUAGCGGUGAAAUGCGUAGAUAUCUGGAGGAACACCGGUGGCGAAGGCGGCAUCCUGGACCGAUAUUGACGCUGAGGAGCGAAAGCCAGGGGAGCAAACGGG